rnacentral:tRNA from 3 species
GCCCCCGUGUCCCAAUCGGCAGAGGAAGCCGUCUUAAAAACGGUUCAGUGUGGGUUCGAGUCCCACCGGGGGCACCC